CGCAUCUGUGCAUGCAGCAUAUCAAUAAGCGGAGGAAAAGAAACUAACAAGGAUUCCCUUAGUAACGGCGAGUGAAGCGGGAAGAGCUCAAAUUUGAAAUCUUCAAGGUUUUACCUUGACGAAUUGUAGUUUAAAGAAGUGUUUUCUGUUGAAGUUUUGGUAAAAGUUCUUUGGAAUAGGACAUCAUAGAGGGUGAGAAUCCCGUAUUUGACCAUUAUUUUCAGCUGUGUGAUACACUUUCAAAGAGUCGGAUUGUUUGGGAAUGCAGUCCAAAAUGGGUGGUAAAUUUCAUCUAAAGCUAAAUAUUGGCGAGAGACCGAUAGCGAACAAGUACCGUGAGGGAAAGAUGAAAAGAACUUUGAAAAGAGAGUUAAACAGUACGUGAAAUUGUCAAAAGGGAAGCGCUUGACACCAGUGUUGUUUUCUCGAAAAUCAAUUAAAAAGAUGUUAGAUUUUGUUGUGUAUUGACCUUAGCAGCUUGCAUUUCAAUUUUCUUGCUUUUUUUAAUGCACUUUUCGUUUAACAAGUCAACAUCAGUUUCUUUUGUUGUAAAAAGGUCAUUGGAAGGUGGCUUUCUUUUCGGAGAAAGUGUUUAUAGCCUUUGACUCCUGCAAUCGGAGAGACUGAGGUCUGCAGCGUAGAUCCUUCGGGGUUAGAUACAUUUGUGCUAAGUUAUAGCUUUUUAUAGACAACUUGUUGACUAUGAUUAGUCUUGUAGCUUACUCGCUUAUGCUAUUUUACCUACGCUUAGGAUGUUGACACACGCGCGUGCUCG
rnacentral:rRNA from 1 species